rnacentral:rRNA from 1 species
AUGAACGCUGGCGGCGUGCUUAACACAUGCAAGUCGAACGGUGAAGCAGGAGCUUGCUCCUGUGGAUCAGUGGCGAACGGGUGAGUAACACGUGAGCAAUCUGCCCUGGACUCUGGGAUAAGCGUUGGAAACGACGUCUAAUACCGGAUACGAGGCGCGAAGGCAUCUUCAGCGUCUGGAAAGAACUUCGGUCCAGGAUGAGCUCGCGGCCUAUCAGGUAGUUGGUGAGGUAACGGCCCACCAAGCCUACGACGGGUAGCCGGCCUGAGAGGGUGACCGGCCACACUGGGACUGAGACACGGCCCAGACUCCUACGGGAGGCAGCAGUGGGGAAUAUUGCUCAAUGGGCGCAAGCCUGAUGCAGCAACGCCGCGUGAGGGACGACGGCCUUCGGGUUGUAAACCUCUUUUAGCAAGGAAGAAGCGAAAGUGACGGUACCUGCAGAAAAAGCACCGGCUAACUACGU